rnacentral:rRNA from 1 species
UACGUAGGGUGCGAGCGUUGUCCGGAAUUAUUGGGCGUAAAGAGCUUGUAGGCGGUUUGUCGCGUCUGCUGUGAAAAUCCGGGGCUCAACCCCGGACUUGCAGUGGGUACGGGCAGACUAGAGUGUGGUAGGGGAGACUGGAAUUCCUGGUGUAGCGGUGAAAUGCGCAGAUAUCAGGAGGAACACCAGCGGCGAAGGCGGCGCUCUGGGCCGGUACUGACACUGAGGAGCGAAAGCGUGGGGAUCAAACAGG